GUUGAGCUCGGCAAGGGAAGAGAGCAUGGUGUUUACAGCACAAUACAGUUUAGAAAAUAACGGCCAAUUUAGGUGGUAAAAAUGAUACUGUUAUUGUUGAGAGAAACUAGAUGAGUAAACUGCAGACAGUUAAUGCACAUGCAUAGCACAGGGGCUAAUAAGGGAGAUUCAGAGAACAUUUCAGACCAGCUUUAUACAGACAGGCUAAUUUACAAACAAAUAUAUAAUAUGGCUUUUAAGUCUUACAAUUAUUUGGCGAUGCUUGUUGUCUUGUUUUCUACCUAGACGAUGACAGUUUUCGAUGUUGUUUGGACUUAGGGAGUUAUCAAUAGUGGUGAGAACUUUCAUGAUUUUACCUUCAACAUUUUCAUUUAAAUCUUCUUUAAUUCCGCUUAUGCGUAUGCAGUUUUUUCGACUAUAUUGUUCGAGCUCGUCACACUUGUCUUGUACAGAUGCAUUGAGAUGGAGGGAUGUUGUGGCUAAUUGUAAUUUUAGGGACUCGAUUUCAUUUUGGAGAGGAGCAAUUUGUUUUGUAAUCUCUUCUUGGACCAUCUGUUCUAUGAAAGGCCUGAUAGCAUCCUUAACUUGCCUGCUGUGAAAAGAUAGGGCAAUUUGAUGAGUGAGUGCCUCUACGGUUUUAUCAAAAAUGGAAUCUUCCUGUUCAGAAAAAGUGUUUAUAGGGUGUGUUUUUGCAGUUUUUUCGUCAGUUACUGAAGUAGAUGUGUCGAUUUCUUUAAGAUUUGUCUGCUCUUUGUCAAUAGUACCAGAGAAGUUAUUAAAGUCAGAGUUGGUUAGGUCAGCUUGUAACGAAAUGUCAGACAAAGUAUCAUCUUCGUAUUCAGAUGUAGGUCUAUAUGUUUUAUCAACAUCAUUUCCGGAUUGGGUAAACAUUGAUUUUAUAU